GUCAAAGGUCAAGGUCACAAUGACCAGGAACAGUUAAACACUUAGACAUCAAGAAUAGUUUAACUUAGUGUGCUCUGUACAUUCACUGAGAAGGUUUGUGUGGGACUAUUUAUCGGCGUUAGUGAUAGUUCUAGUUCAUUAAGGAGUUAGCCUUUAAAGUUCAGUGUUUAAAGUGGAAUUAUAUGCAUUUUUUCAAGUUAAAAUCCAGUUGAAAUAGAUGUUUGUGUAAAAUAGGUGUAGAAAAUUAUAGCUUUUAACCCAAUAUACCAAACUCUUUCUGUUACCAGUACGAAAUAAUAACACUGCAAAUAUGACUUUUCUUAUUUUGACAGGAGCAGUAGUUUUUAAGAGUAUUCAAACUGCACUCAGGAGUUGCUUCCCUUCAACUUCAGAAAUCUCUAUCUAUAGGUCUGCACAGAUUGAUUGGUCAGUUCACAAACAUUUUGUUAGAAAGUCUGCAAAGCCAUCGACUUGAAUACGUUGGUUAUUUUCAAUGUACCAACAAUAUAGAAAUAAAAUUUGUUUAUAAAUUUGAAA